rnacentral:rRNA from 1 species
GUUAAAAGGGAUUUCAAGCACAUGGUUCACCACUUGAUUAGUGAAUAUGAUGGAAUGAACUCACAUAAGAAUAGUGUUGCUGCUAAAAUUGAAAACAUAAUGGAAGAAGUUGUGGCAUGUGGAGUAGAUGAAGCAAGUGAUGAGUACUUCAUAGCAACCAAGUUGUUUGCAAAGUUUGAAAAUCGUUGUUUCUUUAACAAUAUGAAGACCGGACAACAGUGGGUUACGAGAACUUGA